rnacentral:lncRNA from 1 species
GUUAGGUUUUCUUCUUCUCCUCCUUUUUAAUUUUUUUUCUCGCUUUUUUCAACCUAAUUAGGAUUAAUUGCUCUAAGUGGUUCUUUAUGUUUAUUUCUUGGUGGAAAGUCGAAGCAAAUGAUGGGAACCAGGAAUUCUUGAUUUUUUUUUUUUGCAAAUUUUGUAGGAAUAUGUGCUGGAUUUUCCUUUUUCUUUCUUGAAAUGAUUUGUAUUUGACAAUUGGUUGCUU